GGGGUUGUGGCUCAAUGGUAGAGUGCUCACCUAGCAUGUGUGAGGCACUGGGUUCGAUUCUCAGAACCACA
rnacentral:tRNA from 1 species